rnacentral:rRNA from 1 species
UAGGGAAUCUUCGGCAAUGGACGAAAGUCUGACCGAGCAACGCCGCGUGAGUGAAGAAGGUCUUCGGAUCGUAAAACUCUGUUGUUAGAGAAGAACAAGGACGUUAGUAACUGAACGUCCCCUGACGGUAUCUAACCAGAAAGCCACGGCUAACUACGUGCCAGCAGCCGCGGUAAUACGUAGGUGGCUAGCGUUGUCCGGAUUUAUUGGGCGUAAAGCGAGCGCAGGCGGUUUCUUAAGUCUGAUGUGAAAGCCCCCGGCUCAACCGGGGAGGGUCAUUGGAAACUGGGAGACUUGAGUGCAGAAGAGGAGAGUGGAAUUCCAUGUGUAGCGGUGAAAUGCGUAGAUAUAUGGAGGAACACCAGUGGCGAAGGCGGCUCUCUGGUCUGUAACUGACGCUGAGGCUCGAAAGCGUGGGGAGCAAACAGG